UAUUUAUAUAGUUUAAGAUAAAACAUUAUAUUUUCAAUAUAAAAAUAAAAAUUUAUUUUUUAUAAAUAU
rnacentral:tRNA from 1 species